ACCACAUCGUCCUGGACACUGGCUUUUUCUAAGUCACAUUUAAGCGAGGGAUAGAGAGGGGACAGGUCAUUGUGGCCAAACUGUAAAUUUCACAGUGCAGGUUUGUGUUGAAGAAGAAACCUUGUCAUUUCUGCGGUUCUCUCUGUUCCUGUGCUAAAAAACACGAUUUCCAGAAGUUUCUCUCAAAACAGCUCAUGUCCUGACAACGAUACAGGAAAGUGAUCUGAGAACACAAGGAAAGGACUUCUCAAAAACGCCAGGCACGGAGCAAUCUGGUCAGGAUCACUUGGGAUGGCACAGUGGAUGAGGGACACCAGACACCAAGUUUUUCAUUGAGUCUCCUGCAGCCCCUAUUGGGGUACCUCUUGGUAAGUUGGUUUUUGGGCAGGUCUUGUAUAUACUCUCCAGGAUACAGGUGUUGCUACAGGGGGACAGUCUUGCCUCAGCACUCUGUUUUCUUUCAGCAUCAUUUUUCCUUGGUUUGGAUUUCAUGAAAUAUCAGAAAGAGGCAGGACAGAAGUGUGUUCUGAGCCCUGGUUGCCAUCCUCUUGUUGUCAGGGCAUACAGUCUCUUGUUUGUAAGUCACCACCUGAUCUCAGCACAGACCUCCUGGGCAUGGCACAAGAAACUGUGUUCCGUCAAAACAAAUUCUCCACUUCAACUUUAGGCCUGCUACAAGAGUCCUAUGAAAUGCAAUUAAAGGAGCUCAGAAAAAUUCAGAUUGGAAGGCAUCUUCAGAGCUCACUGUUCUAAUAAUCUGCUCCAAGCAUGGCUGACCACAAAGCUAG